GUGUGUGCGUGUUUGUGUAUGAGUGUGAGUGCAUGCGAGUGCGUGUGUGCAUGCGUGUGAGUGCGCGUGUGAGUGUGUGUGUGUGCGUGUGCAUGUGUGUGAGUGUGUAUGAGUGUGUGCGUGC
rnacentral:miRNA from 1 species